GGGGGGGGGGGGGGGCAACACCACGCUCCGCCGCAUGCGGGCCCGCAUCGACUCGCAGUCCCACCUGCGGACUCAGCGCCCUGCCGCGCUCGCAUGGUCGACGCGGACCAAGUCGCCGCCAUCGUGUCUUCUACCCGCGCGGGUGGGCAAAGGGGCGAGGGUGCGAGGAGGCCGUCGGCACUCGGCCUGCUCCGCUUUCGGAAGGAGGACGCCGAUGCCUGUCGCGCUUGCGCUCAACCUAACCUCAUUUGCCUCUCCUUCCUUUUCUGAGGAGCCGCGAAACCCUUAUGGAGACUCUGACUGCAUAUUCUCGUGAUCUCAUUGCUGCUGGUGGUAGGUCCUGGUGCUAUAGCAGGGGCGUGGAGGGCAGGCAAGAGAACUGAGGUGACGGCGUGUUGGCAGUGUUAGAUCAAGAGGGAACAGCUCAUCAGUUCUGACUUCUGAGAAGCUCAAGUAGCUCCUAAUGGUACACAGUUAACAUUAGCUGCAGCCAGAAGAAAAACAGAGGUGCAUGGGCAGUUGAUCCGGAUAAAGAUAACCAUGGUCUCGACGAGUGUUCAGGAUGAAAUGGAACAAGAAACAAGUAAUGCGAAGACAUGGGAAAUUCGAGGCAAAUAUUGGAACCUUUGCUAUUUUUGUUUCUAGUAUAUUGCUUUUGAUGCAAGAUGACAGCAUGUAACUUGCUAUUUUGAUGUGCUUCUCAAUGUAAAUAUGAGAUAUUCUAUUUGAUUUGAUGUUGUGGUAAAUGGGUUGAAAAUUUUAGUA